GUUUUGCUUCAGUUUAUACAAGCAUCACUCAGGGGACAGUAUUUUAUCCUGGUCACGGUAACUUGGAUGCAAAGUGACUUCCCACUGGGUUGCUCCCCUCACCUCCCAGUUCUGCAUGGGGCCAGCUGUGACAAUGCCACUGCAGGUGCCCCAGGGUGGUCAAGUUGGCUCACAGCUGUACUCAGUGUCAGUAGUAAUUAUAAGGGUUAAUGUGAUUCGUUUCACUUGUGAUACUGGUAAGUAUCUACUGUUGUUGCCCUUGGCAGUAAAUUUCCCUUGUAUAAGUUCCUUGGUGUACAGCUUUCUGGUACCAGACACAAUCAUGUUAGGUAAGGGAGCAGCUGUGUGAGGGAAGUUGGAAAUGAAGGCAGAGGAAGGUGCAGCGAGAAAUAAUGAAGCUCAAAAAGAAGUACUGAAUUAUGAACUUGCCUUUCCCUUCCCUGUCCACAGCAGCUGGCUGCCACCCAAUGUGACCUUCCUUCUUGUCCUCUGCCCAUGUCCAGCUUCACCGUGGAGCAGCAUUGUCGACAAGAAAAGCACUAUGGCUGAACCACAGAAAUCUGUCAAUCUGCAGAAUACUCCAUUCCUGUGUGUGUGACCUAUUAAACCGUGGCACUGAAUCAUUCAUGUGGCACUGCAAAUAAGUGCUUGUCUGUGACGUGACACGAGGCUUCACUUGGAUAAAAAAGAGCAAGCUAAAGCUUCUUCUCGAUAAGUCUGCAGGCAGCGUAAAACUGGGAGGAGUUACUGCUGCACCAGUUGGGUUUGCUGCCUUUCAGAGGGCCCUCAACAGCUUGGAGAAGUGGCGCAGCAGGAACCUCGUGAAGUUCAACAAAGGAAAGUGCAAAGUCCUGCACCUGGGGAGGAAGAACCUCAUGCACCACAUGUGCUGGGGGAUCACUGGCUGGAAAGCAGCUUUGCAGAAAAGGCCUGAGGGAGUGUCCUGGUGGACACCAAGUUUACCAUGAGCCAGCAACGUGCCCUUGCUGCAUAAAAAGUCAACAGCCUCCAGGGCUGCGUUAGGAGGACAGUUGCCAGCAAGUUAAGGAAGGUGAUCCUUCCCCUCUGCUUAGCACUGGUGAGAUACUUCUGGCGUCCUGGGUCCAGUUCUGGGCUCCCCAGUACGAGAGGGACAUGGACAUGCUGCAGUGAGUGCACUGAAGGUCACAGAAGUAAUCAAGAGAGUGGAGCAUCUGUUAUGGGAGGAGAGGCUGAGUGCUGGGGCAGUUCAGCAUGGAGGAGGGAAGGCUCAGAGGGGUCUUGUCAGGGCAUGAAGAAGAUGGAGCCAGACUCUUCUCAGCAGUGUCCAGUGACAGCACAGAUGGCGAUGGGCACAAACUGAAAUGCUGAGAAUUACACUUAAACAUGAGAGAGGUUUCCCACCGUCUUUGAGGGUGGUUGGACACUGAAACAAGUUGCCCAGAGUGGGUGUGGAGUCAUCCUCCUUCAAGAUACUUCAAACCAGCCUGGAUAUGGUUCUGGGCAACGUGCUGUAGCUGACCCUGCUUCAGCAGGGAAGUUGGACUAGAUGACCUCCAGAGGUCCUUUGCAACCUCAGCCAUCCUGUGAUUCUGUGAAAAAUGGUAUGUAGACUGUGCUGGAGGUGCCAUACAGUGUGAUGACAGGAAAAUUGGUGUGAGGUUUG
rnacentral:lncRNA from 1 species